AUCUUAACUUUAAAAUUUAAAAUUUAAAAUUUAGAACUUUAAAUUUUUAAAUUUGAGAUAUAAUAAUUUAAAUUUAAAUUUUAAAUUUUUUAAUUAUAAAAGUUAUAUAUUUAAAUUUAAAAUUUUAAAUAUAAAAUUAAAAAAUUAAAAUUCAAAUAUAAUAUAAAGGACAAUAUUAUUAUUUUCUAUUUAUAUUUACCCACUAUUCUUCUUAUUCCAUCUUAUUUAUUCAAAAGUUAUUUUUCUUAUUCCCGAUAACAACUCAAUUUUUAUGUAAAUACAAAAUUUGUGUAUUUCAGAUUUAUAUCUAAACUUAUGUUUAUUUUUGUAAUAAAUAUAUCUAAACUUAUGUUUAUUUUUGUAAUAAAUAAUUUUUAUUUAU
rnacentral:lncRNA from 1 species